CAGAGGGGGCAAGCGUUGUUCGGAAUUACUGGGCGUAAAGGGCGCGUAGGCGGCCUGCUAAGUCGAACGUGAAAUCCCCGGGCUCAACCCGGGAACUGCGUCCGAUACUGACAGGCUUGAAUCCGGGAGAGGGAUGCGGAAUUCCAGGUGUAGCGGUGAAAUGCGUAGAUAUCUGGAGGAACACCGGUGGCGAAGGCGGCAUCCUGGACCGGCAUUGACGCUGAGGCGCGAAAGCCAGGGGAGCAAACGGGAUUAGAUACCCCGGUAGUCCUGGCCCUAAACGAUGAAUGCUUGGUGUGGCGGGUAUCGAUCCCUGCCGUGCCGAAGCUAACGCAUUAAGCAUUCCGCCUGGGGAGUACGGUCGCAAGGCUG
rnacentral:rRNA from 1 species